GGAAGGAUCAUUAACACUAAUCCACUCACCUUAACCAAGCCAUCAGUGCAGUAAUAGUGCCAGCCAGUAACUCGGCAGGCAUUGUUACCGCUCUACAAAACUAAUACCAAAGGAGCCUAACUAAGCUCAACCAAUAAAUCCAAAUUCUCAACGAUGGAUAUCUUGGUUCCCAUAACGAUGAAGAACGCAGCGAAGUGCGAUAAGCAAUGCGAAUUGCAGAACCGUGAGUCAUCAGAUUUUUGAACGCAACUGGCGCCGAUUGGCUAUCCAGUCGGCAUGCUUGUUUCAGUGUCUUAUUUUCUCCUCACCCAAAUCUUAAUGCGCGAGAUACCCUUCUCACGCCAAGUACGAAAGCACUCUGAGCCCUGCAAGUGACUUGGCUUCGGUCGAGGUCACACUCAAUGCAGCAGUCACAUUUCUCACAAUGUGAACUCAUUGAGAGCGGAGUCAGCGCAGCUUGUCUGCAAGUGCUUAGAGCACCAAACUCUAUCUGUAUCUGAAAUCAAGCAGGACCACCCGCUGAACUUAAGCAUAUCACUAAGCGGAGGAAAAGAAAUUAACUAAGAUUGCCCCAGUAACGGCGAGUGAAGCGGCAAAAGCCCAAAGUGGAAAUCUCCGUUCUUCGAACGGCGAAUUGUAAUCUAUAGGAGGAAAGCUCACCUGGUUGUGGCGCAUAAGUGUCUUAGAACGGACCGCCAAAGAGGGUGACAGCCCCGUAUUUGGUGCCGCGACCUAACGAGCUUCUUUCAAAGAGUCGGGUAGCUUUGAAUUGCUGCCCUAAGCUGGGAGAUAGACUUCUUCUAAGGCUAAAUAUUUAUGGGAAACCGAUAGCGAACAAGUACUGUGAAGGAAAGAUGAAAAGAACUUUGAAAAGAGAGUCAAAAGACUUGAAAUCGUUGAGAAGGAAGCGGUAGAAAUUUAUUCUACUGGUAGGUACAAAGGCAUGCUCCUAACCAUCGGCGGACGGCUGCACUUCAUAGGCAGUCGCUGACGCUUGGGGAAGAGCUAGCUGGGUACCUGCCGUGAGGCAAGAUGGGGUGCCGUCCUGUCAUAAGCUGGUUGGACCUGGGCCUUUUCGGAGGUCAGUCCAGCUGUGUUCGACAGGCGAACGCCCGAGGAAGCUUUGUGCGAUCUUGCCAAAAUGGUUUUUACCGACCCGUCUUGAAACACGGACCAAGGAGUCUAACAAAUAUGCGAGUGUGCUGGCGCAAAAACCAACACGCGUAAUGAAAGUGAUUGAUGCCACUACAACUGCAGCAUCAACCGACCAUGCUCCUCUGGAAAAAGGUUUGAGUAUGAGCAUAUCUGUUAGGACCCGAAAGAUGGUGAACUAUGCCUGGGUAGGGUGAAGCCAGGGGAAACUCUGGUGGAGGCUCGUAGCGGUUCUGACGUGCAAAUCGAUCGUCAAACUUGGGUAUAGGGGCGAAAGACUAAUCGAACCAUCUAGUAGCUGGUUCCCUC
rnacentral:misc_RNA from 1 species